UGUUUCCUGAUGAAAGAUCUACUUUGCGCCUGCUAUUUCUCCCAUGGAGAUGGGCUGCUGCAGAAAGCCCAGUCUUGCAAGCCACUAUUUAAGAGAAAUGCCCCCUAGUCUAGUAAUCCCUUUGUGGUCUGCUUUUCACUAUACUUGGAUGUCCCUUUGUUUGUGUUUGUUUCCUUUGCACACAUUUUAUGCUCUGUGCAGCAGCCCCUUUAUCGCCUAUCUCAAUAUUUAUGGAGACUGGAGGUUUUGCCAUUACAGGUUUGUUUUCAUGGUGCAUUAAAAAUCAGGCGGAGUGGUCUAUGUACAUGGUUUGUGUCUGCAACACAUGGACUUUUAUGCCUACCUCCUUCUGGCUCUCAGUUGACCAGGAUCCAAUAGUGUGGCUUAAUUGGGCAAAAUUGGGUGUGAAGAGGCAUGAUUUCCCUUCAAGCGACAAUUUGCUCUUUGUUCGUUAAACACCUCCUAUUUUGCGCUUGUCUUUGCUCUGUGGAUGUUGUCACCCAAAGCAGAGCCUGAUGUUUAGAAUCUCAUUUUUUCAAGCUGAUGCUUCAGGCUUUUGAUUAAUAGAGCAGCACCUAUGUUUAAUUAGAACUGAUAUCCAUUUCCAUUUUUCUUUUUUUUGUGUGCUUGCUUAUUCUUCCUGAAUUGUAAAUGUUGUAUAUUAUCAACAAUUGCAUGAAGUGAGUGUUGCAUUUCUUCUGCUGUUUGGCAAUGGUUACUAGUGAAUCACUCAAUUUUAAAAUUUGAAGCCCCCCCCUUUAAUAAUGUGUAGCAUGUGUUAGAGCCAACAUUUGCGGUAAUGUAGCGUCACGUACAUUAUGCACAUAAUGUAGCGUUCUUACAUUAUAAGCAGCUUAGAUACAUUGUAAAAGGUACAUAAUUGUUGGCAAGUGUUUAGGAACAGGCUAUUUGACUUCUCAAAACACUUGAUAUGAAAAAUAUCAACUAUGAAAUAGUCUUACGUGUAAACAGGUGACUAUGAGAGUGGCAUUGAGCAUAGUUGAUUUCAUUUUCACAUUGAAAUCUUCCACUUGCAGGCAUGACGUUGACAUUCAUAUAUUUCAGAACAAGUUAACUGUAGUUAGUAACUCACCAAUUAUAGCAAUUUUCAUAAAGUUCCAAUCAUUGCUGAUUUUCUGAAAAUGAAACUCCAUGCAGCUUUCCACAGAUUAUGUUUUUUAUGUUUAAAAUUCACUCCACAUUCUUUAAAAAAAUCUUGCAAACAAUAUUUAUUUUCAAUUUGCUUAUAUGUGUGAGGAUAUGUUAUUUUCUGUGUUUCUUCUUUGAUAUUUAGGUUUCAGAUCAUUUCCAAAGAAAAUUGGUAAAGGAUUUUAGUUUCUUAAUUAAAACUGAAUUAAUAAUUCAUUUAAGCAAUAAUGGCCACAAUGGAAUUGUAUCUUUUGGAUAAACAUAAUGGCUAUUGAACUAUGAAUUCUCUGAACUUUUCAUCAUUUUAUCUGUGUGUUGAACCUAGACAUAGUCAUUGUCCACUUAAAUCUGUGGGACAAAUUACUUGUGACUAAAUUUAAUUCCAUUGAUUUAAGUGAAUCUGUUUAAGGCAGGAUCCAUCACAGUGACUAUCAACAUUUUAUUACAUAAUCUUACCAUGUAAUCCCUCUGCAGACAAAAGGUUUUCACCAGUGUGUGAUUUUAUCUAUGUUCCCCACAUUUCUCUUUUAUCUAGCGCUAUCCCCUAAUGACUGAAGGAGGAGGAGAAAUAUCAAAAGGAGCCCUUCCUCUCUGUUGUCACAAGCCUUUUAUCAAUAAAGGGACACUACAGUCUUUUCAAUGCCAGCUAUUAACUGUGCUACUUGUUAAGGUUAAGAUAAUGAACAAAUCUUUCUCUGCCUCCCCCCUCCCCCAUUACCUUUUCUGUUCUCAAGAAAAGAGACAUUAAAAAUCUGGUGGUUUAUCCAGUGUUUUCCCUGACCUUGGUAAAUAGAAGUAAUAGACUGUAGCUGUAGCAGGAGAAGCAAAAACUUUAAUUUGGGACACUUUGAUAAUUUACAUCUUCAAAGUCAGCUAUUUUCUCUUCAGGAAAAAAAAAUCUAAUCAGAAUCCAAACACUGAAAUACAUUUUCCUCACUGUUCACAUUAGUUGAUUUUAGGGGUUCAAAGAUAAGGAUGGUUUAUUAGUUGUCAUGGUAACAGGCCAAUUUUAGAUGCCAGUCUUGUGACAUUUAGUUAGAAAGGAAAGUGAAACAUUUUGUGGUUACUUCUAAAAGAUAAACCAUAAUAUAAUUCUCCUUAAAACCUUCCUUAAUUUGGGUAUAAAAGAUACAUUGGUGCAGGUGAGCGAGUAAAAGGAAAUAAAUGAUUUAGUAUAAAAAGAAAAGGUUUAAUGAAGGAUCAGUCAGUCAGUCUUUUCUGUUGAAAAAUUCACCUGCCAUUCAUAGUUAGAGUGUUUAGAUUUGAAAUAGAAAUAAAAAUGUAAAUCCAAUUCUUUUCUAUAUUAGUCAUGUAAACAGCUUCACAGGCCACUGAGACUAAAAACCAAAGGGAUAGUUCCAGUAAUUGAAGUCUUUCCAUCAGUGGAACUGUAGGGGGGCUACUUUUACACUCAGUUGUAGCCUCAUCUUUGAGUCCCCAGCAUUGGCCCAUAAGGUCUGGAGCCAAUGUGAAGGCACUACAGAAGGUGUUGGGCUGGGUGAGUAGGAGAGUUUUCCAUUAUAUUGGCCGUUGGCUCUAGGAGUAAGCAUUGAAGUCCAUCUUUCCUCUAAUGUAAUCAUUAUGUAAUCUGUCUUUGUUAUGUUGUACGCUGCUUUGAGUUCUUCUCUGGGACAAAAGAGGGAUAGAAAUAAAUAAAUAAUAUAAUAUAAUAUAUGCUAUUGGCAUAUUUAAAAUGUUCCUGCCUGAUUUGCUAUUUUAAACAUUUACACACCCUCCCGGAGAUACUUUUGGUUUUCUAUCAUUUCUGGAACCUGACCAACUUUGUAGCUCUAGGAUAUCCCUCUCUCUUUUGCCAGGAGAUGUCAUUCAUGAUCUGGACAGUCCAUCCUAACUCCAGAUGGAGACAGUACUCAUGCCUGCCUUCCCUCAAAAAACAGUAAGCCUUGGUUGCAUAUAGGGCGAAUCUGAAUGAAAUGAGACUUUGAAAUAAGAAAACUAAUUGAAAUUGGAGGAAAGAGAGAGCUACUCAAACAAACGUUUGACAGUUCAAUUUGAGUGGCACUUUCUUAGAAUGUUAUAACAUGUAAAUGGAGAAGCUUUCCUAAUAAACUAAGAAGCUUGUAAUCUCUGCUCUAUUUGGUAAAGAAAAUAAUGUUUCAGUGGAGUAUAACAAGAAGACACUGUAAGUGCGCACCUUAGAAUAGCUUCACCUUGCUGUAGACACCAAGCAGCACACAGAUGAAAGUCUUUUGUAGUUUAUUAAGCAAAAGCAGUAUAUAUAUAUUGUAGCAAAGCAGGCAGAAAUACAGUUUCAAUAAUAGUUGCAAAAUAGAGUCCAGAAAUCCAAAUCCAAAACCCCAUAGACAAAAACAGUAGUCCAUUCAAUGAGUUACAAAGAUCCAGGAACAGGAAUAUAUCCAGGGCAAAGACCGCACCGAAACACAGACUAAGUUCUCUGUUGAAGUGAUGAUUUGCUUUGACAAAGAGCUGCCUCUCAGCAAACUGUUUUUAAAAGCAAAUCAUGAAAGCAUUCCUUUUCCCUUCACUAGCCUUCUUAUUAGCUAAUCCAAGGCUUCGGCAUUCCUUUAAACUGUAAACGAGAAUCAAGAAAGCAAUGGGGCCUCACACUCGGCCUCAGCCUGGCAUUCAAGGUCGGUGCCUUCGUUAACGUUAUCUUGCACCUGAACCUGAGACACAUCAUCCUCAUUAUUUCCCAUGGGAACGCUUCUCUGGUUUUCAUCAGUGACAGGCUGCUUCUGGUUCUCUUCAACAACAAGCUGCAUCUCUGAACCAGACUCUGUCUGAAUCCCAUAAUUCCCCACAUAAUCAGAAUCAUCCUGAAACCCAUCUUGAAUCCCAAAAUCCUCAUCAUCGUCGUCCCCUUCGCUCUGAGGUUGUUGCUGAGUCACAACAGUAAGGGACUGGAAUAUGGUUAGAAUCAUAAAACUGAAAAGGACUGGAAGGGCUGUUUAAUCUAUUGUUUUGCCAUAUAGGAAUACACAACUAACACACUUCUGACAUAUGACCAUUCAAUUUCUGUUUAAAGACCUCAAAUGAAAGAGUCCAUCACUUUGAAGGCAGUCCAUUGUACUGAUUUUACCGUCAGUACAUUCUUCCUAAUGUUGAGAACCACUGGCCUAGAUGAAAUCUCUCUUACUGUAAUUUGAACCCAUUGGUUUGCAUUCUAGUUUCUGAGGCAGUUGAAAGCAGGCUUGCUCCAUCUCCUUACAUGAUGACCCAUGAUGACAAGAUGACUAUCAUGUCACCUCACUCUGAGUUAAACAAACCCAGCUCCCCAAGCUUUUCCUUGUAGUAUUUGAAUGACUGUGUAGUCAUAGCAGCUGUCGAGAUAUGCAAUUACUCAAUAGAUAAGAAUGAAUAUCUAAAUAGAUGUUAUUAAGAUGGUUAUUGAUAAGAUGCAAGGGACAGACCCUGGAUUUGUAAUUUUUUUGGGGAAAUAGCAGGCACCAUAGGGAAUUAAGAAAAGUGUUGAGAGCCUGAUGAUUAUGAUGGGAAAAAGACUGUGUCUUAUUAAUACAUGUACAGACAGUCCCCAAGUGACGAACAAGACAGGUUCUGUAGGUUUCUUCUUAAGAUGAAUUUGUAAGAUGGAACAGGUACAUUGUUAAGUGUAACUCCAGCCAUAUAUAUAUAUAUACACACACACACACAUACAGUAGAGUCAGAGCCGGCCCUAGGUAUUUUUCAAACAGAAUUUUGGCGCCCCCCCCCCCAAACCAAUCACUGAAAAAUAAAAGCAUUGGAUAAGCAAAAAUGUUGGAUAAUAAGGAAGGAUAAAGGAAAAGCCUAUUAAACAUCAAAUUACAUUAUGAUUUUACAAAUUAAGCACCAAAACAUCAUGUUUUACAACAAAUCAAUAGAAAAAGCAGUUCAAUACAUGGUAAUGUUAUGUAGGAAUUACUAUAUUUGCGAAUUUAGCACUAAACAUUGAACAAGGAUAUAGGGCAGUGUGGACUUAGAUAACCCAGAUAGCCCUCAGUAUUAAAAAAAACUCUAAAAUCAGGACAAUAAAUAAAGAACAACACUCUGAAAGCAGAAGAAAUCCAGACAGUAAACAAUCAGGGACAGCUAACUCCUCCCAAAAAAAGAUUCUCCCAGGCAAGAAGAAGCCAGGCCUUGAAGCCACAGGGCCAUUAAAUGCUAAUCAAGGUGAUUAAUUACAACAUUCACACCUGCUUCAAAGAAAAGUUCUUUCUCCCACCCUGGAUCUUUUACAGAUAUAUAAACCCCACAUACCUAGCUUUCAACUUCCCACAGACCUCACAAUCUCUGAAGGCCCCAAAGGUGGGCUCACGUGGUGCGAAGGUGGGUCCAUGCUGGCCGGAAGGCCCAUUGCGGGCACCGGGAGGCCCAGCACGGAAGGCCCGAAAGAGAAGGAGGUGGAGAAUGGUGCCCCUCCUCCCAGGACGAUGGCGCCCCCGGGAUGAUGGCGCCACAGGCAAGUGCCUAGUUCACCUUAUGGUUGGACCGCCUCUGAGUAGAGUCUCACUUAUCCAACAUAAAUGGGCCAGCAGAAUGUUGGAUAAGUGAAUAUGUUGGAUAAUAAGGAGAGAUUAAAAAAAGCCUAUUAAACAUCAAAAUAGGUUAUGAUUUUACAAAUUAAGCACCAAAACAUCAUGUUAUACAACAAAUUUGACAGAAAAAGUAGUUCAUUACACAUUAAUGCUAUGUAGUAAUUACUGUAUUUACGAAUUUAGCACCAAAAUAUCAUGAUAUAUUGAAAACAUUGACUACAAAAAUGCGUUGGAUAAUCCAGAAUGUUGGAUAAGUGAGACUCUAUUGUAUAUGCUUUGUAUAGCAUAGGGAAGUGUUAACAUCCCUGUGGUGUUUAUUUGGCUGUCUGUGUCCCUGUUCAGAAGAUUUCACCUCACUUUCUGUUCCCGUGAUAAUUGGAUUUUGAAAAAAAAAUGACUUGUUGUGGAAACAAGGUUUGGUGAUAAAGCUUCAGUUGAGACACCUUUUCACAUGAUAACUUUUUCAGGAGUCAAUUUCCCUUACUAGUGGUAGAUUUAUCUCAAUUUCUGUUGUGUCACCUCUGUCGUUUGUAAGUCGGAUGUUUGUAACUUGCGGACUACCUAUACUAAUCAUUAUCAACCCUGUUAAACAGCCUAAUAAAGAAAUAGGGUUCAGUCCCCAUGAGAGUCCUUUUGAAUCUUCUGAGGCAAUGUUAUAUACUGUAAUCGAACAGUAUCGGUCCUGAAGUUUUAUUUUUUAGGUGAAUGUGUGUGUAAUAGGUACAUUUUUAAAAAUGUCACUCCAGUCAAAAAUACUUUGUUUAGUUUGGAUAGCACAGGGAAAGGUUAACACCCCUGAAAUGUUUGUUUUGCGGCCUGUGCUCCUGUGCAGAUUUCUCCUCACUUUCUGUUCCUGUGACAAUUGGAUUUUGGAAAUUUGGGGUUGUCAUGGAAACAAGGAUUACUAAUAAAGCUUCAAUGGAAACACCUUUUUCCCCAUGAUAACUCUUACAGGAGUGAAUUUCUCUUUCUAGGAAUAGAUCUCCUCUCACCUUCUGUCAUCUCACUCCCUGUUUGUAACAGUCGUAUGUAAAUUUGUAACUCAGCCACUGCCUGUAUAAUGCUUUCCAUGCAAUGGACUGAAAUGUAAUGAAACUUAAACACCAGAUAUUGAUAUACCUGUUGUUCCUUUAGGUAAAUUUGUAAGUUUUAAUAUCUAUAAUAUCAGUAAUAAGUAGCCUACAUAGAACAUAUAGAGACCACGCAUUUCCCUUUUAAAUAUCUUGAGAUUUCAAUACUUAAGGCUGCUUAAGUGGGAUGCUGGUUAACACAGCCACCAUUAUGCAUACUGGUGGGGGCUCACGUGGUAAUUUGUAUUUCCCUGCUAGAUCUAUAUAGAUCUGGGGUAUAUCGGGAGACACGGUGCUCCAGGUAGGCUGGACCAAAACCGUAUAGGGCAGUGUAGAUCUAGCCUAUUAGAGAGAAAGGGAGAAACUAUAUCUGUUUCACUGGGAAUAAAUCCCACUGAAAUUCAGUUAUACCAUACUAGCAGUUUUUCAUCACAUAACAUAGCAUUUUUUUUAUUGGAAAAUAUAUAUUUACAUGUAACCUGAUGAUAUGUAACAAGUAAGUUCCAAGCUGUUCCAUAUGCUUUUAGUUAAUUUUCCAGUGCAGUCUUUAUCACUUUCUACGUUUAGACUUUUAGACUUAUUUAUUUAUUUAAUUAUUUACAGCAUUUAUAUUCUGCCCUUCUCACCCCGAAGGGGACUCGGGGCGGAUCACAUUACACAUAUAGGCAAACAUUCAAUGCCUUUUAACAUAGAACAAAGACAAACAAACAUAGUCUUCGAGCGGGCCUCGAACUCAUGACCUCCUGGUCAGAGUGAUUCAUUGCAGUGAUUGAUUGCAGCUGCUCUCCAGCCUGCGCCACAGCCCGAGCCCAAUAAUUAGAACAGAGGACAUCUUGUUGAAGAGCUUGCUUUGGUCUCCAGGACUAGCAUUUAUUAGAUAAAUAUGAUCCUAAUCCUAACCCUUCGGUUGAGAGAUCUGCAAAUUCUCCCAGUUGUUCUGUUGUCUUUUCCAGCGAAGCUGUCUUUUCAGCCAAGAAGCAUUUAUAACCUUGGCCUCAAAAUGUUUGUUCUUUAAGUUGGAGGAGAAAUAGUGUGGGAUGUAUGAGGUUUUCUGCAAUCCCAGGAGGUUGGGCUUCUUUAGAAAGAUCGUUAAUCUCAGUAGCUCAAGUGUCAGUGCAAAUAUGUAGAACAUUUCAGUACACUGUAGUUUCUAUAGUAACUAUCUUAUUUUUUUUCUUUCCAAAAAAAGUCUAGUAGAUGCUUAUUGUGCCUGAGCUUUAGGAGGAAUGAUUGGAUAUAAUGAAUGUAAAAGCAUGCUGUUGAGCUAUGUACAAGCUAAGAGGUAAAAUAAUCACUUCAGAUGGAAGCUGUUCCUCCUUGCCCCCCCCUUCAAUAGAAUUAGAAUAAGCAAACUACUUAACAUUGCAAAUGAUUCAAAAGAGCUCUUUCCCUCCACACAGACUAUUGUUAAGUUGAAGGCCAUUUGUCCCAGAUGUGUAAGUUCUUGAUAAGUUCAAAUUGGAACUUUACUAAUUAAGUAGUGCUGUACAAACAUUGGCAGCUUUGCUUGUUACUACUAUAGUUAGUAAAAUAAUAGCAAAAUCUAAAUAGUCCAUCACUUGCCUAUUAUAUAUGCCUUGUUAGAAAUCAAAGGUUGGCAAGGGUUUGUACCCUUGGCUGAACCCAAGAAGCAGUGUAAAAGUCUCUUUUUUGUUUUUUAUUGGAGAGCUUUUCAGCUUAUUUAUGAUUUUGAUGAUGAUGCUGGUAGACAGUAAUCAGAUUCUUCUGAGCAUUCUUUGUGUGAAACCACAGUGUAAGAGAGAGACAAGAGCAAACAUGAACUUCCCCCACCGUGUUUACAUACACUUCAUUGCUCAGGUAAGUGACAGCUUAAGUUUGCCAGCAUUUGUGAACCAAAUCUUGAUUUUAUCAUGCAUGUGUCAGUGAAAUGAAACACAAAAAUAAAAUUCAGAUUUGUUAUCUGAAAGCCAGUGGUUUUCAGGCUGACAGGGGAAAUCAGCAGUCUUGUCCCCUAUUUCCCACAGUGUGCCAGAGACAAUUCCAUCUGUAGUUGUGGCAUUGAAUGUUUGCCAUUUAUAUGUAUGUUAACCACCUUGAGUCCCUCUGGGGAGAGAGGACGGCCCAGAAAUAAAUUUGUUGUUGUUGUUGUUGUUGUUGUUGUUAUCUUUGUUGCCAUUGGCUUGUAUUGUUUCUUUCAUGGAAGCACUUUGAGGGAAUGGCAACAGAUGGUUUAGAUGGUUCAGGGACUGGCACUGCUCCACAGAACACCACUGAUUUAAGUGCCAUUUACUGAAACAGCAUGUUCUAUUCAGAGUGAGAAAUGUAAUUGUAAAUUUUCAUAUAUUAUUUUUGAUAUUAACAGAUAAUUCAUUUGAUUUGAGUAACAAUUGUACAGUUAGUAUUUUGUUCCCAUGAUGUAUUGCUUUUAACAUGCAUUUUAAGACAGCUUUGGGAAUCUGUACUGAAAUGGGAGAAAGAAGUAUUUUGAUUUUUAAAGAGUCUAUAUCUCACAUUUGCUAUAGUCUUGUCAGUCAAUUUUUCAGACCAUUUUUCAAGAUUAUGUAAAAAACUGUCUUAAAAUUCAGUUAUGGGGUAUUUAAUAGAUCAAUGGUUCGCAUCUUAAAUCUCUAGAUCAGAGCUUUCCAAACAUUUCAUGUUGGUAACAUACUUUUGAGACAUGGAUUAUUUUGUGACACAGCCAUUCAGUUUUGCUAGCAAACCAGAGGUUAAACCAAUCCCUUGUAAGACAUACAGACACAUAUAUAAAUUGUAAUAAUUGUAAUAAAAACAUAUUUCAUGGAAAUUGUUCAUUUAUAUUUAAAAAAUAUUUAUUGCUUAUUUCACAUAGAUGCAUAAUAUUUGUGCAACACACCUGCACACUGCAGCCAACACACGAAUGUGUCAUGACACACAGUUUGGCAAGCUGUGCCUUAGAUGUGCACCUAUCAUUCCAGAAGACUGCGUGCAUUGACUAGGGAUUAUUGGAAUUGUAAUCCAGUGCACAAGUUUAGUGGGUUUAAGAAAGGAGACCAGUAACAUUUGAACUGGUCUUUUGUCUAAAAUUCACAAAAAGCUGGAACUAUCCAGUAAUUGCUGUGUUCUCAGUGGGGUGCGGUGAAGAAGAAAAUCUGGGGCAGGAUGCAUUUUGCUGAAGGGUUGAGAACUUUCAUAAUCACAUGUAUUAAUAUUAAAGUAUUGAAUAUCUA